rnacentral:misc_RNA from 1 species
UGCCUCAUGUCCAGCUUAGGUGCUGUGAAAGAUCACUCCCUGGAAUUACUAGUUCGGCAACAGAGACAUUAUAAUCAGGGAUGAAAACCACUUUCAGGAGAUCCCCAACAUCAGGAUCGUUGUUAACUUUAUCAGCCACCACAUGACAAAGUUUGAUUAUCUUCUUUGCAACUUCAUAACCAGGGGCAGCUUUCCCACCAAUUAUACAUACACGAGGUACAACUCUUCGCUUGUCAGUUUCAUCCAUAUUCUUAAUGCAGUCAUAUCUGUG